GAUUGUUUAGUUUAUCAAAAAAUAGAUAUUUUGAAAAUAUCAGAAAAGAAGAAGAUCUUAACAAUCU
rnacentral:tRNA from 1 species